ACACUAUGAUGGCUGGAAAAUUUGUAUUCCAAUCGCGAUACGAGCUCUCCACCACAAAGCUAAUGGCAUUAUUCUCAAAGGCACCUGAAAGGCGACUCACUUAGCGACGCUUUGAUAAGCAACCAGGAGGCGUACCACGAGACCACCAGGCAAAUGACCCAAAAGAUUCGCUCCAACCAACUGGCAUCCUUGUCCACUAUGAAUCUGGCGCCAUGUAGGGUAGAGUUCGACAGAUAUUCCUCUAUACUUCGACUGAACCUCAUGGCGGCACGUCUUUCUAUGAACUCUAAACCGAAACUGAUUGUAAGUGAACCGGAACGGAGCACGGUGUCCCUUGCUAAUGACUCCUGUUCAUUCGAUCUAUCCAUCUUGAUGGCGUAUCAAUCAGGUGUUUUUUUUCCCAGCCCCGACACACGCACCUGCCUGCUCUUUGAGUGGCACAAAUUUGUUUGCCUCACAUCAACAAUGGCUUAGCUCGCAGUUUACUUGAUAAGCGGGCUUCCAUCGGGUCUACAUCCUACAUCAUAAAUCCAAUCCUCACUUUAAACAAUUAGUUGCCAACGGGGAAGCGUGAGUGUUUUGUGUUUAAAUGUUUUAAUCUCUUAGAAAAGUGUGUGUAUACACGCCGAGAAAAAUUACUUUUACACCUAGGUCUAAAGACUAGAAUAUAUUAAUUAUUUAUUUUAAAUUUUGUUUGUAUUGAGAUUAAAUAAAGGCCGUGUUUUAUUUA